rnacentral:lncRNA from 1 species
GAGGCAUUUUCUCAGCUGAGGUUCCCUCCUUUCCGGUGAUCCUAGUUUGUGCCCAGUUGACAUAAACCAGCCGGCACAGCUACCAUCCUGAGUAACUAUUCAGCUAGCUAACAUGGUUACCACAGUGCCUGACAGGGAGGAAGUCAGAGCCAGAGAUGAGGGAUGCUGACUUCGAGACCGAGAUUUGAACUGACAGAAGCUGAUGGGACAGGAGUGCUGGGGAAGCUGGUUGGUCCCCUUGAAACAUUUCUAGGAUUAAAAACAUAAAAGACUCAUAACCAUG